rnacentral:rRNA from 1 species
GACGAACGCUGGCGGCGUUCCUAAUACAUGCAAGUCGAACGCAGUGGGGACGGGUGAGUAACACGUGGGUCACCUCCCAUCAGAGGGGAUAACACUUGGAAACAGGUGCUAAACCGAUCCUGAUGGAUGGACUCGCGGUGCAUUAGCUAUUUGGUGAGGUAACGGCUCACCAAGGACACGAUGCAUAGCCGACCUGAGAGGGUGAUCGGCCACACUGUUACUGAGACACGGCCCAGACUCCUACGGGAGGCAGCAGGAGGGAAUCUUCGGCAAUGGACGAAAGUCUGACCGAGCGACGCCGCGUGAGUGAAGAAGGUUUUCGGAUCGUAAAACUCUGUUGUUAGAUAAGCGGUAUCUAACCAGAAAGCCACGGCUAACUACGUGCCAGCAGCCGCGGUAAUUC